rnacentral:lncRNA from 7 species
GAUCCACAUUCAGAUACAUGACUCUUAAGCUCUCAAGUAAUACAACUCACAGUGGUUGUAGAGUAUUACGCUCCGGUGGUCUGAACCACUCUAAACCCUAGCAUUCUUGUGUCCAUCCAUUAGGUCAGGCAACACCCCGCCACCCGGCCGGAGGAUUUUCCGACUCCGACGGUAACUCUUCCAUACUUUAUGCUAUAAAGAGGAGAAGGAGAGCAACCUAGAAAAAGGAGGAUAUCUAUAAGAUUCACCAUUCACGAGAUAGUUUGGAGGACUUCAUUGGCGAGGAGAUCUAAACCCCUCACUAGAACCAAAAGAAAAAAGAGAGCUAAAAGAUCAAUAGAUCAUUGAGCUCAGUAAAUAUUGAGCAUGUAACCAUCCCCACCUCUACAUCUAAUCAAUCCGACGUAUAUAAGAGGAAGCAGAGUAUUUACAUAUCAACGACCCUAACCUUUAUAUAGUAUCCAUCGGCAACCAAACGUAUAUAAGAGGAAGCAGAGUAUUU